rnacentral:lncRNA from 1 species
GAGAAGCUUUAGAUACAAAGAUUUGAGAUACAAGAUAGCUUCAAUGAAAUUGCUUCAUUUUCUCCAACUGAAGCCUUUUAGGAUACAGAUUUGAAAUAAAAUUUUGAAUAUGUACAAAAUUUUGGAUCCUAAGCUAAAGGGUUUUUCACAAUGGACUACGUUGGGAAAGAUUUUUGGUAUACAAGGAUUUUUGAAGGAUAGAAGGGGUUACAAGAUAGAAGAGAUUUUUGGUAGAACACUGUCUCACUGGCUUGUAUUGUUGCUUGAUUGAGGCUCUUGGACUUUACCAAGACUUCCAAUACUUCCUCUUGC